rnacentral:rRNA from 1 species
UACGUAGGGGGCAAGCGUUGUCCGGAAUCAUUGGGCGUAAAGCGCGUGUAGGCGGUUCGAUAAGUCUGCUGUGAAAGUCCAGGGCUCAACCCUGGGAUGCCGGUGGAUACUGUCGAGCUAGAGUACGGAAGAGGCGAGUGGAAUUCCCGGUGUAGCGGUGAAAUGCGCAGAUAUCAGGAAGAACACCAAUGGCGAAGGCAGCUCUCUGGGACGGUACUGACACUGAGACGCGAAAGCGUGGGGAGCGAACAGG